UACGUAGGGGGCAAGCGUUGUCCGGAAUCAUUGGGCGUAAAGAGCGUGUAGGCGGCCCGGUCAGUCCGCCGUGAAAGUCCGGGGCUCAACCCUGGAAUGCCGGUGGAUACUGCCGGGCUGGAGUCCGGAAGAGGCGAGUGGAAUUCCUGGUGUAGCGGUGAAAUGCGCAGAUAUCAGGAGGAACACCGGUGGCGAAGGCGGAUCUCUGGGCCUUGCCUGACGCUGAGGCGCGAAAGCUAGGGGAGCGAACAGG
rnacentral:rRNA from 1 species